rnacentral:rRNA from 1 species
GACGAACGCUGGCGGCGUGCUUAACACAUGCAAGUCGAACGGAAAGGCCCUGCUUUUGUGGGGUGCUCGAGUGGCGAACGGGUGAGUAACACGUGAGUAACCUGCCCUUGACUUUGGGAUAACUUCAGGAAACUGGGGCUAAUACCGGAUAGGAGCUCCUGCUGCAUGGUGGGGGUUGGAAAGUUUCGGCGGUUGGGGACGGACUCGCGGCUUAUCAGCUUGUUGGUGGGGUAGUGGCUUACCAAGGCUUUGACGGGUAGCCGGCCUGAGAGGGUGACCGGCCACAGUGGGACUGAGAUACGGCCCAGACUCCUACGGGAGGCAGCAGUGGGGAAUAUUGCACAAUGGGCGGAAGCCUGAUGCAGCAACGCCGCGUGCGGGAUGACGGCCUUCGGGUUGUAAACCGCUUUCGCCUGUGACGAAGCGUGAGUGACGGUAAUGGGUAAAGAAGCACCGGCUAACUACGUG